GAUGAAGAACGUAGCGAAAUGCGAUAAGUAAUGUGAAUUGCAGAAUUCAGUGAAUCAUCGAAUCUUUGAACGCACAUUGCGCCCGCCAGUAUUCUGGCGGGCAUGCCUGUUCGAGCGUCAUUUCAACCAUCAAGCCCCAGGCUUGUGUUGGGGACCUGCGGCUGCCGCAGGCCCUGAAAACCAGUGGCGGGCUCGCUGUCACACCGGGCGUGGUAGAUUUUAUCUCGCUCAGGGCGUGCUGCGGGUUCCGGCCGUUAAAAAGCCUUUUUUACCCAAGGUUGACCUCGGAUCAGGUAGGAAGACCCGCUGAACUUAAGCAUAUCAAUAAGCGGAGGA
rnacentral:misc_RNA from 1 species